rnacentral:lncRNA from 1 species
CAAGGCAAGGCUCAGGUUUUGUAGCAGAAGUUCUCACCAGCUUCUCAGUCAGGCUCAUUUGUGCAAAUGAAGAAUUAACACUCAGUUCUGCUUGGUUGGUGUAGUUGAAUUCUGAUUGGUCAAUAGAGCUGAGACCUUAUUGGCCAAGGCAGGUGAGCUCUGAUUGGUUGGUUCAGGUGGGGGUUUUUUUUUUUUUUCUUUUUAAUUUUUAUUUUCAGUUGUGAAGCUUGCAAGGUGAUUUUUGAAAGUCCCAAAGUGAAACAGGCUCUGCAGUGUUCAACAUUUCCAGUCAAGCAUUCAAAAUGUCUCAGAGAUGAGGAAGGAAGUCUAGUGAAGAGUUUUUUCCAAGACUU